rnacentral:misc_RNA from 1 species
AGUGGUAUCCCUGCAGCUUCAACACUUUUGUGAAGGUCCAGCCAUCGUGUAUCAUGUCUAGGAUUGUUUUCAUGAUGCUUCUUUUCGUCCCUGGUUUAGCCGAAGAGUUCAGAGCCCGCCUAGUUAACGGGACAGCGAAUGCGGGGCGUCUAGAAAUACUUUACAGAGGAGAAUGGAGCACAGUCUGCCACGAUGGCUUUGGAAUACAAGAAGCCAGGGUUGCGUGCAGGAUGCUAGGCUUUAGCAGUUCUAGAGCAACAGUUGUUGCAUCAGGUGCAUACGGAGCAGGAGCAGGAAGAAUUCUCCUGGAUGAUGUAAAGUGCCAUGGAACAGAGAACAGUCUUGCAGAGUGCCGUCACAUGACUUACUACAGCAGCGACUGCAGUCAUAGACGAGAUGUCGGAGUUAUCUGCUAUGAGGCUAAGCAUUUCGUGGCCCGUAUAGUAAACGGUUCAGAAAAUUCGGGGCGUCUAGAAAUAUUUUACGACGGAGAAUGGAGCACAGUCUGCGACAAAGGCUUUGGAAAAAAAGAGGCAACGGUGGCCUGCAGGAUGCUGGGCUUGAACAGCACUGGUGCAACAGUUGUUACAAUAAGCAAAUACGGAGAAGGAGCAGGAAGAAUUCUUCUCAAAGAAGUAAAAUGUCAAGGAACAGAAAGCAGUCUUCCGGAGUGCGAUGUCUCUACUUUCUACCCCAGCGACUGCAGUCAUUCCGAUGAUGUCGCUGUUGCCUGCUAUGAAGUUAGUCCGGGACCAGCCCGUCUAGCUAACGGGGACAGAAAGUCCGGGCGUCUAGAAAUAUAUCACAAAGGAGAAUGGAGUACAGUCUGCAACAUUGGCUUUGAGGACAGGGAGGCCAGGGUGGCCUGCAGGAUGCUAGGCUUUAACAGCUCUGACUCAUUAGUUGUUGAAACAAGAAGAUACGGAGAAGGAGCAGGAAGAAUUCUACCCCAUGAAGUAAAUUGUGAAGGAACAGAAAGCAGUCUUGAGGAGUGCGAUCUUAGUAAUUUCCACUCAAGCAGAUGCGGUCAUUCCAAAGAUGUCGGUCUUAUCUGCAAUGAGGUUGGUCCGGUAACAGCUCGACUAGCUAACGGGACGCAUGAUGGGGGACGUCUAGAAAUAUUUCACAACGGAAAAUGGAGUACAGUGUGCGCCGGUUUCUUUGGUGACAAAGAGGCCAGGGUGGCCUGCAGGAUGCUAGGCUUUAACAGCUCUGGAGGAAGAGUUGUUCACCCACGUAUAUACGGAGCAGGAGCAGGAGAAAUUAUCCUCAAUGAUGUAUAUUGUAAAGGAACAGAGAGCAGUCUUGUGGAGUGCUAUCACAAUAGACUCUACCACCACAACUGCAGACAUUCCGAUCAUGUCGGCGUUACCUGCGAUAAAUUUGGACCGGUAACAGCCCGUCUAGCUAACGGGGACAGAAAGGCGGGACGUCUAGAAAUAUUUUACAACGGAAAAUGGAGUACAGUCUGCAACAAUGGCUUUGGAGACAAAGAGGCCAGGGUAGCCUGCAGGAUGCUAGGCUUUAACAGCUCUAAUGCAAGAGUUGAUAAAGCAGGUGUUUUCCGUCCUUGGAGAAAAGGAAAAGGAAGAAUUGCCGUCAGUCAAGUAAAUUGUGUAGGGACAGAGAGCAGUGUUGCGGAGUGCGAUUACUCGAGCGACACCUCCUCCUGCUUUCAUGAGGAUGAUGUCCGUGUUAUCUGCAAUGAAGACUCCACAGAUUUGAAGCUAACAGCCCGACUAGUUAACGGGGACGGAAUGUCGGGGCGUCUAGAAAUAUUUCAUAACGGAGAGUGGGGUACAGUCUGCAACGAUAUCUUUGAGGACACGGAGGCCAGGGUAGCCUGCAGGAUGCUAGGCUUAAAAAGCUUUGGAGCAACAGUUGUUGACACAAGUACAUACGGACAAGGAGCAGGAACAAUUAUCUUCAAUCAUGUAGCGUGUCGAGGAACAGAAAACAGUCUUGAGGAGUGUGAAGUCUCUAACUUCUACUCCAUCGGCUGCAGGCAUUCCGAAGAUGUCGGGGUUAUCUGCAAGGAAGAUAGUCCGGUAGCAGCCCGACUAGCUGACGGAGACGCAGAGGGGGGACGUCUAGAACUAUUUCACAACGGAGAAUGGAAGUCAGUUUGCAGCAGUCGCUUUGGAGACAAAUCUGCUUUGGUGGCCUGCAGGAUGGCAGGCUUUAACAGUUCUGCAAUAGUAGCUGCUACAUCAAAUGCAUACGGAUCCGGAGCAGGAAGAAUUAUCUUUGAUUAUGUGAAGUGCAGAGGAACAGAGAGCAGCCUGUUGGACUGCAGUUACCAAACCGACUACUAAGUCUGUCAUUAAAAAAGACUCAUCCUUGCCAACCACAACAUCGCCGACAACAACAACUACAACGGAAAAGAUUACAAAGGUGACUACAACCACGAAAUCUAGAACCGGAAACGCAACAGCAGUAACAACGUCAACAACUACAACAUCUA